rnacentral:rRNA from 1 species
GCGAACGGGUGAGUAACGCGUGAGGAACCUGCCUCAAAGAGGGGGACAACAGUUGGAAACGACUGCUAAUACCGCAUAAGCCCACGGGUCGGCAUCGACCAGAGGGAAAAGGAGCAAUCCGCUUUGAGAUGGCCUCGCGUCCGAUUAGCUAGUUGGUGAGGUAAUGGCCCACCAAGGCGACGAUCGGUAGCCGGACUGAGAGGUUGAACGGCCACAUUGGGACUGAGACACGGCCCAGACUCCUACGGGAGGCAGCAUG